GCCUGGGAACUUCCUUAUGCCGAGAGUGCAGCCCUAGAAAAAAAGACAAAAAUAAGAUAAAAUAAAAAGAAUGUUCUCCGAAGCCGCCAGUAAAUCUCUCCUUCAAUCUCACUGACCAGAAUUGGGUUAUGUGGCCACUCCUAAAAUGCAGGCUGGAUAUGAUUAACCUCAGACCUGUCAUCGAAGCUGGGUGUCAAGCCAAAGCCUUCAUGGCCUUUCCAGGAUGACAGAGAGGAGGUUCAAGUAUCGGGGCAUUGACCAUGAUCCACUAUGGGAAUGGUAACGCACUUAAAUACCCAUAAACGUGUGUGAGUGUAAAUCACCUUUUACUUAUAACAAGGAUUCAGGCCAGUCCAUAUAUUCUCCACUACUGAUACUUGUGAUCCAGUCUCUCUCUCUUUCUCUAGCUAAUAAAUGUUUUUAUUUCAUAACUGCAGUAUAGACAGAAUGAAGACAUUAUUUGUUCCUUGUUGUUUCCAGCUGGGACUUAGAAUCUGGCCAAUCGCUGGCCCAAACUCAUCUCUUAUAGACACUCAGCCCUGGAACUUUGCUAACCACGUUCCAUUACAUGUAGAGGUUCAUUUUACUUUUCAGUGUUGUUUUUAAACACAGCUUGUCUCCUUCUGACAGAGUUACUCUUGGUUUGGGGUAGGAUGAGGACAGGGCAGAAAAAAAUCUCACCAAAGCAUGACUUUUUCCGAGUGGACAGGCUUCCCAGAGCACUGUUUGUCAGGAUGCUGUGGGUUGCCAGCAACAGAAGCUCACAUUGAAACAGUUUACAGAAGAGGGGACCUAAAUAGAUACUGGAAUAUCUUGAAAAAGAUGCAACAAGGCCUCGGGAAGCAGUGAAAUGAGGGGCUCAAAUGGCAUCAGAAUGCCCCCUCUCUCACUGUGCUUCUCACGGAGCCCCUGCUCCAUCUUAUCCACCUGCAGACCGACUUCUUCCAUCUCUGACCCCGUUAUGGAAGGGAGUGGGGCUGCCGAGAACAAUCCUUCCCCCGCCCCAAUGUUGGAUAUUCUUUCGCAGUUUUAAUUUCAAGGAUCCUUGGAGGGUCUAGAAUGGGCUCCACGAGGCUCAAGUGCCCGUCCCCAGGCCUGCCGCCUGUGGUCAGGACUCACCUUGGACUUGCGGAGUGACUCCCUCGAUGACCAUGUAAAAGGUGGGAGAGAUGGGAGGACAAUCCCAGAGACUCUGUCAUAAUCAUCUCGUGCCCAUGAGGGAAUGAGGGGUGACAGGCGAGGAGAAGGGCAUUCUCCUUGUGAUUCCACGGACUUGACUCUGCCCAGCGUUUUCCAGGGAGACUUGUCUCUGUGACCUCACCCUUUCCUCCUGAGGAUUCUCUGAGGAUACUGCUAGAUCUUUCAGGAGAUGGUGGUUAACAGAGUUGGAUACAGGAACAUGGUCCAGUCCCUGCCCUCAAGAGACUCCAGACUGGUCAGUGAGACAGAUACGGACAGAACUCAACAGGGCUCCCAAGGACCUCAGCUGUUACACUCACUGUGUACCAGUUACCUAGGCAUGGGCUUCUUGCGUUAUCUAGGCUGUGUCUAGACCUCCACCAGGCUCCGGACCCUAGUUCUUCUGACACUGCAUGGAUGUGGCAGGUAAGUGAUGGAAUAAACUUUCCUCCGUUCAGAAUGAGGGGAGUGCCAAAGAGCUGGCUGCUUUGAAGAGGGAAGAGCUUGGCUCUUUCCAACUGGAGGACUGGGAAAGUCAUCCCAGAUGUGGUACCACUGAGCUGUGUGGAGAGGGGUCUGCAGAUGGGGAGGAGGGAAGUCAAUGAGAAGCAGAAAGGUGGGACUCCAACUCCCCCUGGUACUUCUGUCCCUGGCCGGGGCUCUGACCACUUAGGAUACUCCCUAGAGCACAAUCUAAAUGAGAACAAUGAAAUCCGAGCUGUCCCAAGAAGUCAGCACCUGUUUGGUGUCCUGCACGCCUUUCAGGCCCUUUGUGUAUUUCUAAGUAGACAAUCUCAUUCAUUUUCACAACAGACACUAAGAGACCAGGAGGGGAGGAUGGGCUUAGGAGGAGCCCUGGGCAGGAGUGUCUGAAAGCAGGUGGGAGGCAAGCCUCUGAGGUUUCAACCAGCCUCCCAGCCAUUUCUCCCAGCAACACACCAUGUGCCCCUGGGCAAGUCUUCUCCCUUUGCUGUGACCCAAGGUCUUCUUUAUAGCAAGAGGACAUGGGAUUCAGUUACCACUGCAGUACCUUCUAGCUCUAACAUCGCAUGCUCCCUACUGUGCCCUACAGGAAGUGCCCAGUUCCUAAGAAGGAUGGUGGUUGGCCUGAGUUCUUCAGCAAGUUGGAGAAGUUUCUGGAAGAUACACCCAUUGUGAGCAGUAGGAGGAUGAGAUCCGUGUUUUCAUGUUUACCACGGUGAGAGGUAGAUGCUCAGGGGAGAUGCUGAAUGAAUCAGUGCAAGUUUCCAGACUCCUGAGUUCGCACAUGCCAUGGAUUGAUGUGUCCCCUCCCUCCAGAUUCAUACCUUGAAAUCCUAACUCCCAAUGUGACAGUAUUAGAGGUGGCAUCUUGGGAGAGUAAUUAGGUCAUAAAGAUGGAGCCCUUAUGAAUGGGAUCGGUGCCCAAAUCAAAGGGACCCUCUUUCCACCGUGUGGAGGACACGAUGAGAAGACCAUGGUUGGCACGCUGGAAGGGGACCCUCGCCCAACCAUGCUUGCCCUCUGCAUCUCAAGCUUCCAGCCUUCAGAACUGUGAGAAAUACAUUUCUGUAGUUUAGAAGCCACCUGAUCGAGGUACUUUUUCAUAGCAGGCUGAGCCAGCUGAAACAUAUCGAUUCCAGCGCCUGCUGCCUUUCUGUUGAGCUUUCAGGGAGAAGCCCUUCACUUCCUCACCAGGACAAUCUGUUCCUCGGUGGGGAUUAAACACUGUUUUAUAAUUGAUAUCAUAACUGACCCUGGAGCGAGAAGUUGGGACUUACCUUCAAUCUCCCAUGAGGAUCUGGAGCCAGUGCAGCUCACAGGAGACGCAGGGCUGCAGUGCAGAGGAAACCAUUCAACGUGUGUAUGUGAAAAAACUUCCAAGCUAUGGGACAGCACAGCACCCUCGACACUUGUCUGCCUCCAGUUGACCGAAGCUUCAUCCAACAAUGCCUGGCAUAUAGUGGGUCCUCGAUACAUACUUGUUGAGGAAAAGAAGAAAUUAAUGAUUGACUCUCCACCAGACAUAUCUGGGAAGACAUCAUAAUCACCAGAGCAGUAUUUGGAAUCCAUAAAGCCCCGCUCGCCUCUCGGACCUGGCGCUUCCCAGUGAGAAUCCUUGUCACUGUUUUGGAAGAGAAACCUCUGAUUUUCACUUGCGAGACGCUCGGCUGCGCUUGUCAUACCCAAAAAGGUGAUUUCAGUUCUCCGAUGCCAAAGAACCUUUUCUGCUGAUCAAAACACAGCUGCAGAGGCCCGUGUGAUCUGCUAAUGGGCACCCCAGCUCUGGGGUAUGUCUGUCUGUACCUGGGAAAAUAGAUAUAAUUAGGAUAACGGAUAUCAUAUGUAUAUGCAAAUGCAGCAGGUAAAAAUGACUCGCAAUGAGAUAGGGCUCCUGUUUGCCAAAUCCCAUCAGACCAGCUGUGCAGCUGAACCAAAGCCGACCCCAUCACUACCCCUUCCCCACCUUGCCUUCUGCAGAACCAGCUCUCGUGCCCUCUCUCUCUCUCUCUUUCUCUUUUUUUUUGGUUUGUUUGUUUUUUGUUUUUUGUCUUUUUAGGGCCACACCUGCAGCAUAUGGAGAUUACCAGGCUAGGGACUGAAUCGGA